UGAUCUAGCCAUGGGCAGGUUGAAGGUUGGGUAACACUAACUGGAGGACCGAACCGACUAAUGUUGAAAAAUUAGCGGAUGACUUGUGGCUGGGGGGGAAAGGCCAAUCAAACCGGGAGAUAGCUGGUUCUCCCCGAAAGCUAUUUAGGUAGCGCCUCGUGAAUUCAUCUCCGGGGGUAGAGCACUGUUUCGGCAAGGGGGUCAUCCCGACUUACCAACCCGAUGCAAACUGCGAAUACCGGAGAAUGUUAUCACGGGAGACACACGGCGGGUGCUAACGUCCGUCGUGAAGAGGGAAACAACCCAGACCGCCAGCUAAGGUCCCAAAGUCAUGGUUAAGUGGGAAACGAUGUGGGAAGGCCCAGACAGCCAGGAUGUUGGCUUAGAAGCAGCCAUCAUUUAAAGAAAGCGUAAUAGCUCACUGGUCGAGUCGGCCUGCGCGGAAGAUGUAACGGGGCUAAACCAUGCACCGAAGCUGCGGCAGCGACGCUUAUGCGUUGUUGGGUAGGGGAGCGUUCUGUAAGCCUGCGAAGGUGUGCUGUGA
rnacentral:rRNA from 1 species